UACGGAAGGCAGCAGUGGGGAAUAUUGCACAAUGGGCGCAAGCCUGAUGCAGCCAUGCCGCGUGUAUGAAGAAGGCCUUCGGGUUGUAAAGUACUUUCAGUCGUGAGGAAGGUGUUAAGGUUAAUAACCUUAGCAAUUGACGUUAGCGACAGAAGAAGCACCGGCUAACUCCGUGCCAGCAGCCGCGGUAAUACGGAGGGUGCGAGCGUUAAUCGGAAUUACUGGGCGUAAAGGGCACGCAGGCGGUUAAUUAAGUUGGAUGUGAAAUCCCCGGGCUUAACCUGGGAAUGGCAUUCAAGACUGGUUAGCUAGAGUCUUGUAGGGGGUAGAAUUCCAUGUGUAGCGGUGAAAUGCGUAGAGAUGUGGAGGAAUACCGGUGGCGAAGGCGGCCCCUGGACAAAGGCUGACGCUCAUGUGCGAAAGCGUGGGGAGCAAACAGGGAUUAGAUACC
rnacentral:rRNA from 1 species